rnacentral:lncRNA from 1 species
CCAGGUCAUGCAGCUCAUGACUUAUGCACUUAUGUCCUAUCUUACAGUAUGUUCAGCCCAUAUGACUCAUGCUUCACUCCCAGUGAUCAACCAAACUCAAAUUAUGUCCCUUAUACUCUCAAUUUAGAUACCUCAGUGAAUUCGUGAUAUUGAUGUUCCAUCCCUAAGUUCUCAAUUACAGCAUCAUUCAACAUUUAGCAUCCAGUAAAGGAUUCAGAUAGUCCUACAGAAC